rnacentral:rRNA from 1 species
GAUGAACGCUAGCGACAGGCCUAACACAUGCAAGUCGAGGGGUAACAUUAUUAAAGCUUGCUUUAAUAGAUGACGACCGGCGCACGGGUGCGUAACGCGUAUGCAACCUACCCAUUACAGGAGGAUAGCCCAGAGAAAUUUGGAUUAAUACUCCAUAGUAUUUACGAGAAGCAUUUCUUGUAUUUUAAAAGAUUCGUCUGGUAAUGGAUGGGCAUGCGUAUGAUUAGUUAGUUGGUAGGGUAACGGCCUACCAAGACGACGAUCAUUAGGGGUUCUGAGAGGAUAGUCCCCCACACUGGUACUGAGACACGGACCAGACUCCUACGGGAGGCAGCAGUGAGGAAUAUUGGUCAAUGGGCGAGAGCCUGAACCAGCCAAGUCGCGUGCAGGACGACUGCCCUAUGGGUUGUAAACUGCUUUUAUAUAGGAAUAAUUGUUUCUACGUGUAGGGAUUUGAAUGUACUAUAUGAAUAAGCACCGGCUAACUCCGUGCCAGCAGCCGCGGUAAUACGGAGGGUGCAAGCGUUAUCCGGAUUUAUUGGGUUUAAAGGGUGCGUAGGCGGGUUCAUAAGUCAGUGGUGAAAGUCUGUCGCUUAACGAUAGAAUUGCCAUUGAAACUGUGGAUCUUGAAUACAGUAGAGGUAGGCGGAAUAUAUUGUGUAGCGGUGAAAUGCAUAGAUACGAUAUAGAACACCUAUUGCGAAGGCAGCUUACUAUGCUUUAUUUACGCUGAUGCACGAAAGCGUGGGGAGCGAACAGG